CCUUCUAUGGUGUACCUGGUAGCGCCUUGAAUUAGUAAUUGUAAGUCCUAGGUUCGAGUCCUGGUAGGAGUA